UACGUAGGGUGCAAGCGUUGUCCGGAAUUAUUGGGCGUAAAGAGCUCGUAGGCGGUUUGUCGCGUCUGCUGUGAAAACUCGGGGCUUAACCCUGAGCCUGCUUCCGAUACGGGCAGACUAGAGGUAUGCAGGGGAGAACGGAAUUCCUGGUGUAGCGGUGAAAUGCGCAGAUAUCAGGAGGAACACCGGUGGCGAAGGCGGUUCUCUGGGCAUUACCUGACGCUGAGGAGCGAAGGUGUGGGGAGCGAACAGG
rnacentral:rRNA from 1 species